rnacentral:lncRNA from 1 species
AAAUUGUGUCUAACGCUCAUAGACCCAAACAUCCACUACGACCCCAUCCGACCUAAGAGAAAGGUCAUUAAUUCUGUGGAUUAUGGGAAAGAACUCGGCUUCAUUGGCGCAUGCCAUUGUGGAGCAGACUAUGAAUCGGAGUACGAGACAGAAUACUCGGAAUCGAUCGACACCCCAACAUUUCCAUCGAUCGAUUCCAAUGUGUCAAUGGUGACCGAUGACCACAACAACACGUCACUCGACG